rnacentral:rRNA from 1 species
GACGAACGCUGGCGGCGUGCUUAACACAUGCAAGUCGAACGCUGAAGCACCAGCUUGCUGGUGUGGAUGAGUGGCGAACGGGUGAGUAAUACGUGAGUAACCUGCCCUUGACUCUGGGAUAAGCCCGGGAAACUGGGUCUAAUACUGGAUGCUACAUGUCACCGCAUGGUGGUGUGUGGAAAGGGUUUACUGGUCUUGGAUGGGCUCACGGCCUAUCAGCUUGUUGGUGAGGUAAUGGCUCACCAAGGCGACGACGGGUAGCCGGCCUGAGAGGGUGACCGGCCACACGGGGACUGAGACACGGCCCAGACUCCUACGGGAGGCAGCAGUGGGGAAUAUUGCACAAUGGGCGAAAGCCUGAUGCAGCGACGCCGCGUGAGGGAUGACGGCCUUCGGGUUGUAAACCGCUUUCAGUAGGGAAGAAGCGAAAGUGACGGUACCUGCAGAAGAAGCACCGGCUAACUACGUG